rnacentral:tRNA from 1 species
GGAUAUAGCUCAAUGGUAGAGCACUUGCCUAGCAUGUACGAGACCUGGAUUCAAUCCCCAGUACUG